GGGGUAGACGCUACGGACUUAAACAAUUUGAGCUUUAGUAAAAAAAUUUACUAAAUGCUAGCUUUCAGAUUCAGGGAACCUUAAGUUGAAAAAAAUAUAAGCGAUCCUGAGCCAAAUUUUGUUCUAAAAAUAAGAUAGGUGCAGAGACUCAAUGGAAGCUAUCCUAACGAAAAACGUUUUAAAACUUAUUUAAUUAAAUUCUAUAAAUUAAUAAAAAUAAAAAAAUUUAAUUAAAAUUUUUUUGAAUAAAAAGCGAGGAUAAAGAGAGAGUCCAAUUUUACAUGUUAAUUUUAGCAACAAUUUAAAUUGUAGUAAAAAAGAAAAUCCGUUGGCUUUAUUGACCGUGAGGGUUCAAGUCCCUCUAUCCCCAAAAUUAUGAAUUUUUUCUUGACAUACGCUUCCAGUUGAUGGUAAGAUAACAAAAAAAGAGCCGGAAUAGCUCAGUUGGUAGAGCAGAGGACUGAAAAUCCUCGUGUUAC
rnacentral:misc_RNA from 1 species